UUGAUUAUCCAUCAAUCCAAUAAAGGUGGAUUCCUGAUUAACUAUUCAGCAUUAUAUCCCAAUACCAUAGUAUCAUAUUUCAUUCUGCCACUGGGCGAGAAUCCCAAUUCACAUUAAUGGAUGCUGCUCCACAUCAAUACUUAUGUUCAGAUAAAUUCCAUUAAUGCUGUCUCUACAGCUUUACUGCUUUCCUUUACACCAAUCAUAAAGUAAAGCAUGACCAUUUCAUCACUGAAAAAAAAAUUUUUUUUUUUUUUCUCAUAUACUCAAAU
rnacentral:lncRNA from 1 species